GGAGUUAGCCGGUGCUUCUUCUGUGAGUGAUGUCCUUCCUGCCGGUUAUUGACCCGCAGGCCUUCUUCCUCACUGAAAGUGCUUUACAACCCGAAGGCCUUCUUCACACACGCGGCAUGGCUGGAUCAGGGUUGCCCCCAUUGUCCAAUAUUCCCCACUGCUGCCUCCCGUAGGAGUCUGGGCCGUGUCUCAGUCCCAGUGUGGCUGAUCAUCCUCUCAGACCAGCUACGGAUCGUCGCCUUGGUGAGCCGUUACCUCACCAACCAGCUAAUCCGACAUAGGCUCAUCCGAUAGCGCGAGGCCCGAAGGUCCCCCGCUUUCCCCCGUAGGGCGUAUGCGGUAUUAGCCUGGGUUUCCCCCAGGUUAUCCCCCACUACCGGGGCAGAUUCCUAUGCAUUACUCACCCGUCCGCCGCUCGCCACCAGGGAGCAAGCUCCCCGUGCUGCCGCUCGACUUGCAUGUGUUAGGCCUGCCGCCAGCGUUCAAUCUGAGCCAGAAUCGAACCCUGA
rnacentral:rRNA from 1 species